GCCGUGAAGUUGGGGAUAACUUGCUGAAAGGCGAGCUAAUACCGAAUGUGGUCUAACAAGGCUAAAGUUGGGGACCGUAAGGCCUGACGCUUCAUGAUAAGCCCGCGGCCUAUCAGCUAGUUGGUGAGGUAAUGGCUCACCAAGGCUAAGACGGGUAGCUGGUCUGAGAGGACGACCAGCCUCACUGGAACUGAGACACGGUCCAGACACCUACGGGUGGCAGCAGUCGAGAAUUUUUCUCAAUGGGGGAAACCCUGAAGGAGCGACGCCGCGUGGGGGAUGAAUGGCUUCGGCCCGUAAACCCCUGUCAUUUGCGAACAAACCUUUCGUGUUAACAGCACGGGAGCUGAUUGUAGCAGAAGAGGAAGGGACGGCUAACUCUGUGCCAGCAGCCGCGGUAAUACAGAGGUCCCAAGCGUUGUUCGGAUUCACUGGGCGUAAAGGGUGCGUAGGUGGUGAGGUAAGUUUGACGUGAAAGCUCCGAGCUUAACUCGGAAAUUGCGUUGAAUACUAUCUUGCUAGAGGGUUGUAGGGGGGACUGGAAUUCUCGGUGUAGCAGUGAAAUGCGUAGAUAUCGAGAGGAACACCAGUGGCGAAGGCGAGUCCCUGGACAACUCCUGACACUGAGGCACGAAAGCUAGGGGAGCAAACAGGAUUAGAUACCCUGGUAGUCC
rnacentral:rRNA from 1 species